AGAACGCUGUAGAGAAUAGGAGCAUAUUGAAUUUUUCUCCUGGCAGAAGAAUAUUUUUCACUUCUUGAAAAAAUGAAGACUUUUCAAUUUUACAACGACUUGAAAGAAUUUCUUUUACGGGAAGAAUUUAGCAACAAUUUAACGGUCAGAGAGCGAAGUGAAAUACAACGUGUGUCCGUGAAUUUUAUGAUUAAAGUCCAUCAUCCAUGCCCUGGCUGCUCUACAGGGUGUAUCAGGACAGGAGGCAGAAGACUUAUUUCUUGGUGGCCCAGAAUACAGUAUCAGUGAAGUGGAAGAAUUUAACUGAAAGAUAGGGCAGCAAUUAAAGAAGGAGGGAAUGCUGUGAUAUCUGUUAGAAUAGAAGAUGAUGCUACUGCCCAGUGCUUCCAGAAUCCUUCAUUUGAGUCUUGGGUCUGAAUCUACUGCGUCAUUGCCAAGUAUU